rnacentral:misc_RNA from 1 species
UCUCCAUUGGUGAACCAGCGGAGGGAUCAUUAUCGAGUUUACAACUCCCAAACCCCUGUGAACAUACCUAUCGUUGCUUCGGCGGGAAAUGCCCCGGCGCCCUCGGGCCCGGACUCGGGCGUCCGCCGGAGGACCCAAACUCUUUGUCUCUGAUGUGUAUCUUCUGAGUGACACAAGCAAAUAAAUUAAAACUUUCAACAACGGAUCUCUUGGUUCUGACAUCGAUGAAGAACGCAGC